GCCUGGGUGGCUCAGUGGGUUAAGCAUCUGACUUCAGCUCAGGUGAUGAUCUCACGAUUCGUGGGUUUGAGCCCCAUAUCAGGGU
rnacentral:tRNA from 1 species